GUCCAGAAACAGAAUUUCAGUUCAAAUUUAAAUUUACCUAAAAACUACUCAAUUCUAAUGUAAAUUUAAAUUAUAGUCUAAAAAGGUACAGCUUUUUAGAUACAGGUUACAACCUUCAUUAGAGAGUAAGAACAAGAUAAACCCAUAGUUGGCUUAAAAGCAGCCAUCAAUUAAGAAAGCGUUCAAGCUCAACGACACAUCUAUCUUAAUCCCAACAAUCAACCCAAACUAACUCCUAAUCUCAUACUGGACUAUUCUAUCAACACAUAGAAGCAAUAAUGUUAAUAUGAGUAACAAGAAUUAUUUCUCCUUGCAUAAGCUUAUAUCAGAACGAAUACUCACUGAUAGUUAACAACAAGAUAGGGAUAAUCCAAAAACUAAUCAUCUAUUUAAACCAUUGUUAACCCAACACAGGCAUGCAUCUAUAAGGAAAGAUUAAAAGAAGUAAAAGGAACUCGGCAAACACAAACCCCGCCUGUUUACCAAAAACAUCACCUCUAGCAUUUCCAGUAUUAGAGGCACUGCCUGCCCAGUGACAUCUGUUUAAACGGCCGCGGUAUCCUAACCGUGCAAAGGUAGCAUAAUCACUUGUUCCCUAAAUAGGGACUUGUAUGAAUGGCCACACGAGGGUUUUACUGUCUCUUACUUCCAAUCAGUGAAAUUGACCUUCCCGUGAAGAGGCGGGAAUGACUAAAUAAGACGAGAAGACCCUAUGGAGCUUUAAUUAACUGAUUCACAAAAAACAACACACAAACCUAACCUUCAGGGACAACAAAACUUUUGAUUGAAUCAGCAAUUUCGGUUGGGGUGACCUCGGAGAACAAAACAACCUCCGAGUGAUUUAAAUCCAGACUAACCAGUCAAAAUAUAUAAUCACUUAUUGAUCCAAACCAUUGAUCAACGGAACAAGUUACCCUAGGGAUAACAGCGCAAUCCUAUUCCAGAGUCCAUAUCGACAAUUAGGGUUUACGACCUCGAUGUUGGAUCAAGACAUCCUAAUGGUGCAACCGCUAUUAAGGGUUCGUUUGUUCAACGAUUAAAG
rnacentral:rRNA from 1 species